GGACAUGGGAUCUACACGGGACAUGGGAAGGACACAGGAUGGACACAGGAUCUACAUGGGACAUGGGAUGAACAUGGGAAGGACACAGGAUCUACACGGGACAUGGGAUGCACACGAGACAGACAUGGGAUCUACAUGGGAAGGACAUGGGAUGGACACAGGAUGGACAUGGGAGGGACACGGGAUCUACACGGGAUGCACACGGAAUGGACACGGAAUCUACAUGGAACAUGGAAAGGACAGAGGAUGGACAUGGGAUGGACAUGGGAAGGACAUGGGAUGGACACGGGAUCUACAUGGGACACAGGAUGGACAGGGGAUGGACAUGGGAUGGACAUGGGAUGGACACGGGAUCUACAUGGGAUGGACACGGGAAGAACAUGGGAUGGACACAGGAUGGACAUGGAAUGGACACUGGAUCUACACGGGACAUGGGAUGGACAGGGGAUCUACACGGGAUGGACACAGGAAGGACAUGGGAGGGACAUGGGAUCUACACGGGAUGCACAGGGAAUGGACAUGGGAUGGACAUGGGAUCUACAUGGAAUAUGGGAAUGACACGGGAUGGACACAGGACAUGGGAAGGACAUGAGAUGGACACAGGAAGGACAUGGGAGGGACAUGGGAAGGACACAGGAUCUACAUGGGACAUGGGAGGGACACGGGAUCUACAUGGGAAGGACACAGGAUCUACAUGGGAUUUACAUGGGCUCUACGAUGGACACGGGAAGGACACAGGAUCUACACGGGAUGGACACAGGAAGGACAUGGGAGGGACAUGGGAUCUACACGGGACACAGGAUGGACACAGGAUCUACAUGGGACAUGGGAU
rnacentral:lncRNA from 1 species